rnacentral:misc_RNA from 1 species
ACUUCAAUUACAUCGACAAGUAAUACAACGUAGGUCGACGAAAAAAGCGUCAAGUAAAAACGCAUUAUUAGAUAUAGCUCGAAAAGUAGUUGUUAAAUCUCAAAUAAAUUUAAAUGGGACCAAUUGGCACACACCACCUUUCGAUUGAAAGAAAAUUUGUCGAAAUCGCUCCACCGAGUCAAAAGUUCUGAUGUAACAUACAUAAAA